GUUGACCGUCAGCGAGGAUUUGCCGCACUAGCAUUGCGCCUUCCCUGCUGACGCCAGCGGCUGUGUCGCCUUGGUCCCCACUCCGCCGCCGCCGUUGCCGCCAUGGGCCGAGGCCGCAACCGUAAGCCCCGCAACUUCGCCACGUUCCGCCUCUGCCCGCGCCCCGGCGCCGCCGACGCCGCCGACCGCGUCUUCGUCCGCGUCGACGACAACCCCUACUCCGUCCCCGGCUUUGCCGACGACGGCGGCGGCCUCUCGUCCUCCACCGCCGUUGGAGGCGACGAUGAGCCCUCGUCCUCCUCCGCCGAAGACGGCGGGGACGUGCUCCCCGACCACGUCCGCCGCGAGAUCCUUGAGCUCGGCCUCCCCGACGACGGGUACGACUACCUCGCCCACCUCCGCGAGCUCCGCCCCUCCCUCUCCUCCACCGGUGGCGGAGGCUCCUCCGCCGUGUUCCUCCCCAGCCGCCGCCGCCCCGCGCGCUCCGGCCUCCCCGUGGACGUCAAGGCGUACGACUUGAGUCGUCCUCCGCUUGGUUCCGGGGAGGUUGCGGUGGCGACGAGGCGGGUCGAGGAAGCUAUCGACCUGGAUGUCGCGAAGCUGCUUGACGGGAGCGAUUUGCCGGGCGUUGAGUCCGCUGAUGAGGAUUUGGAGGAGGAUUUUGUUAACCUUGCAAAUCAGUCAGAUGAGGAGCAGCAGACUGAGGAGGAAGAGAAGAACAUUGGUGGGGGCAAGGAGAAGGUCCAGAAACCGCACUGUGAGCAGUUUGAUUCGCUUGCUUUGGAAGAAUCUGCUGGCGGUGAAGACGCUGUUAAGUAUUUUGCAACUACCAUUUCCGGAUCAUAUCUCAGUAUUCACCCUGAGAAAAUUAUAGUUCCAGAAAAUGCUAAAAAGAAACUUCCGAAAUUUUCUACCGGAGAAACAAGUAUGAAAAAGGCCAUCGUCAAAAAAGGAAUUGAGAACCUUCCUGGAGAGCACUUACCUCAAAGGAGAACAUGGAGUGAUGAUAAAACUUUAAAUCAGGGACCCUGCAAGGAACCAAAAGAGGAAGCAGAAAAAAGCUAGGCUGCGUUGAAAGAUCAAGGGGCAGAGCAAAGAAAUAAGAUGCCAAGGGCUUGUGUAUAAGGCUCAACAAGUUGCUACUGUACCUGGACGAUUCCGUAUGCCUUAUAUCCUAUCACCAUUUUAGGAGCAAAUCUUUGCUGGGGAGGAAACGAUGAAAAGAGAAGCUAUUUUGUUUUUUUAGGGUGAAAUACCGAGGGGGAUGAAGGAUCCCCACCUAUAUUGAUCCACAUAUGCCAGCAAACCGGUGAUGGAACAUGGUGCAUGGGCACCGAGUUGGCCGGAGUCAGGUUACAGGGAUACGUACAGUCCACAGUUUUGCCUGUGUCUUGCAGGCCAGGAGGAGACGCGACAAACUUGGCGGCAGGAGAAGCUAUAUUGUUACUGGGAUUUGACAACGAGAGCUUGAUUAAAGUGAGAAGAAACUUAUUAUAUAACUGAGACAAUCAGCUGAAGGAUCUGCAAAUUGAAGAGUUAACGACAGUGUCCCACCAUGGAAGCUACCAAUUACUGAGCAACGGCCGGGGUUGCCAUCCAGAUUACUGUUCAGUGCAAUCCAGAUUACUGUUCAGUGCAAGGCACCUGUGUUCAGCCCCAGUCCCCCACUGUUUUUGGGUUCAUGAGAUGGACUGGAAUGGCAUGCGUCCAUCAGAGGGAACGCAAAGGAUGUGCUGAUGUGCAGGCUGCAGGCUGCAGCUUCACUGUACCUAGCGAUGAUUAGCGCUCCGUCCUUGCGGUUUCAACUUUCAAAUGGGCGCCUUUGCAGUCAGCUUUCAUGGUCGCUGCUGCAUGGCUUUCACGUUGCUAUCGCGCUCCAAUCAUGAUGAUACUGCUCCCAAAGACGAUGACAUCUUAUGAUGUCCUCAUCAUAGUGUUGUGCAACAAAUGAUACUGUUCAUGAUCCAGCAUAUAAUGAUCACCUGCGAUGUUCUUGUCUACUAA